UACCGUUUCUCAUAAAUACAGUUGAAUACUGUAAAUAAACAUUAAUAUGACAAACAAAAUAAUAACAGCAAGCUCCUGUUCAGUCUUACGGGAUAAUACAGUAUUUUUUGGUUUGGUCAGGCAUGUCAGACAUGUGACGAGCUCAUCUGCAACCAUGAGUAAAACUGAUUUAACUACACUGUUUUUCUGCAUUUUAUUAUACGAGAAGGAAGCAGAAUUAAAGACUAUCCAUCCAUUUUCACUCCGAUUGUGACCCUACCAGCACUGAGACGGACGACGAAUUCACUUGUUUUUUACUCCUCGCCUGUAUAUCAAGUUGCUGGUGAUGAAGUAACAUUUGGAGGUUGGAUGAUCAGCAGUGAAAACAUCAUCAUCUGUGAAGGCAAGAUGAAGCUGCGAGGACACUGGAGUUUGUUCAAAGAUGCUUAAUUGGUGUGAACCCUAAGAGGUGAACAAAAGCCAGGCAGGUGAAGGUGUCCGAGAAGACAGGAAAGCUUGUCCAGAAAAACGCAGCAACUGUUAAUCCCCAUGUGACCACCCUCAUCAAAAACUUCAUGGACUUUGAGUGGCUUUCACAUUGUAUUCUGCAGUGUUGUGAUAUUUAUGUGACAUCACAGCAUUAUGUUUUAUUCAGCCCAGUCUCAUUAGUGAGGCAGAAACUGACAUUUAAGAAUGCACUGAAUUUUGUUAUAUUUAAUAAAAACAGUGUUUUAUCAUCAUCCUUUGUUUGAGAAUUUUUUUGCAAGCAAUUUUAAGUGUUUAUUUUAAAAUUACAUUUUAACAAUGCUAGAAAAAUCACAUUCUACAGUAUAAAUAACAGCAGGAACCCUAAAAUAACAGUAUAAUGCAUCCAAACAUCUGACAGUAUUAUACUGUGCAGCUCCCUUUUUUUACAGUACUGUCUCGUAAUAUUUGUACAGUAAAAAACUGUUGUUGUAAAUUACAGUAGGUAAUCUGUAAAAUUACAACUAUAUGCUGGCAAAUCUAGCUGCCAGUAUAUUACUGUAAUUUAACAGUGAAAUUUUU